rnacentral:rRNA from 1 species
UACGAGGGGGGCGAGCGUUGUUCGGAAUUAUUGGGCGUAAAGGGUGCGUAGGCGGUUCCGCAAGUCCUGUGUGAAAUCUUCGGGCUCAACUCGAAGUCUGCACGGGAAACUGCGGGGCUUGAGUAUGGGAGAGGUGAGUGGAAUUUCCGGUGUAGCGGUGAAAUGCGUAGAUAUCGGAAGGAACACCUGUGGCGAAAGCGGCUCACUGGACCAUUACUGACGCUGAGGCACGAAAGCUAGGGGAGCAAACAGG